rnacentral:rRNA from 1 species
AGUUUGAUUCUGGCUCAGAUUGAACGCUGGCGGGAUGUGCUUGGUUCACGAUGCAAGUCGAACGGCAGCACGGACUUCGGUCUGGUGGCGAGUGGCGAACGGGGUGAGUAAUGUAUCGGAACGUGCCUAGUAGCGGGGGAUAACUACGCGAAAGGUAGCUAAUACCGCAUACGCCCUUCAAAGCGGGGACCUUCGGGCCUCGCACUAUUAGGAGCGGCCGAUAUCGGAUUAGCUAGUUGGUGGGGUAACGGCUCACCAAGGCGACGAUUCAGGCUGGUUUGAGAGGACGACCAGCCACACUGGGAUUCCGAGAUGACGGCCCAGAUCUUAGCCGGGAGGCAGCAGUGGGGAAUUUUUGACAAUGGGGGAAACCCUGAUCCAGCCACUCCGCGUGACGCGAAGGACUUCGGGUUGUAAAGCACUUUUGGCAGGAAAGAAACGGCACGGGAUAAUACCCCGUGCAACCGACGGUACCUGCAGAAUAAGCACCGGCUAACUACGCCGCACAGCAGCCGCGGUAAUACGUAGGUGCAAGCGUUAAUCGGAAUUACCGGCGUAAAGCGUGCAGGCGGUUCGGAAAGAAAGAUGAAAUCCCAGAGCUUAACUUUGGAACUGCAUUUUUAACUACCGAGCUAGAGAGGUGUCAGAGGGAGGUAACGCAGCAGUGAAUGCAGAUAUGCGGGGAGGAAACACUGAUGGCGCGCAGCCUCCUGGGGAUAACACUGGCGCUCAUGCACGAAAGCGUGGGGAGCAAACAGGAUUAGAUACUCCUGCAGUCCACGCCCUAAACCACGUCAACUAGCUGUUGGGGCCUUCGGGCUCGGUAGCGCAGCUAACGCGUGAAGUUGACCGCCUGGGGAGUACGGUCGCAAGAUUAAACUCAAAGGAAUUGACGGGGACCGCACAAGCGGUGGAUGAUGGGAUUACACUCCGAUGCAACGCGAAAACCUUACCUGCCUUGACAUGUCUGGAACUCCAGCGAGAUUUUGGGAGUGCUCGCAAGAGAACCGGAACACAGGUGCCGCAUGGCUGUCGUCAGCUCGCCGUGAGAUGUUGGGUUAAGUCCCGCAACAACGAGCGCAACCUCACGCUGUUGUUACGAAAGGGCACCGACGAGACUGCCGGUAAUAAACCGGAGGAAGGUGGGGAUGACGUCAAGUCCUCACAAUCUUAUGGGUAGGGCUUCACACGUCAUACAAUGGUCGGGAUAAGAGGUCGCUAACCCGCGAGGUGGGAGCUAAUCCCAGAAACCCGAUCGUAGUCCGGAUCGCAGUCUGCAACUCGACUGCGUGAAGUCGGAAUCGCUAGUGAAUCGCGGAUCAGCAUGCUUCGAAUACGUUCCCGGGUCUGAAGACCGCCCGUCACACCAUGAGUGGGUUUUACCAGAAGUAGUUAGCUCAACCGCAAGGGAGGCGAUUACCAUUGCAGAUUCAUGACUGGGUGAAGUCGUAAUAC